GGGGUCUCGUACGUGACCUGCGGAGGGAUCAUUACACAAAUAUGAAGGCGGGCUGGAACCUCUCGGGGUUACAGCCUUGCUGAAUUAUUCACCCUUGUCUUUUGCGUACUUCUUGUUUCCUUGGUGGGUUCGCCCACCACUAGGACAAACAUAAACCUUUUGUAAUUGCAAUCAGCGUCAGUAACAAAUUAAUAAUUACAACUUUCAACAACGGAUCUCUUGGUUCUGGCAUCGAUGAAGAACGCAGCGAAAUGCGAUAAGUAGUGUGAAUUGCAGAAUUCAGUGAAUCAUCGAAUCUUUGAACGCACAUUGCGCCCUUUGGUAUUCCAAAGGGCAUGCCUGUUCGAGCGUCAUUUGUACCCUCAAGCUUUGCUUGGUGUUGGGCGUCUUGUCUCUAGCUUUGCUGGAGACUCGCCUUAAAGUAAUUGGCAGCCGGCCUACUGGUUUCGGAGCGCAGCACAAGUCGCACUCUCUAUCAGCAAAGGUCUAGCAUCCAUUAAGCCUUUUUUUCAACUUUUGACCUCGGAUCAGGUAGGGAUACCCGCUGAACUUAA
rnacentral:rRNA from 1 species